rnacentral:rRNA from 1 species
CACCAGCACCCCGAGUGGUCGGGACGAUUAUUGGGCCUAAAGCAUCCGUAGCCGGUCAUGCAAGUCCUCCGUUAAAUCCACCUGCUUAACAGAUGGGCUGCGGAGGAUACUACAAGGCUAGGAGGCGGAAGAGGCAAGCGGUACUCAGUGGGUAGGGGUAAAAUCCUCUGAUCCAUUGAAGACCACCAGUGGCGAAGGCGGCUUGCCAAUACGCGCUCGACGGUGAGGGAUGAAAGCUGGGGGAGCAAACCGG